rnacentral:rRNA from 1 species
UACGUAGGGACCGAGCGUUGUCCGGAAUCAUUGGGCGUAAAGAGCGUGUAGGCGGCCACUUAAGUCCUGCGUGAAAUCUUGCGGCUCAACCGCAAGCGGUCGUGGGAAACUGGGUGGCUAGAGUGCGGGAGAGGAGAGUGGGAAUUCCUGGUGUAGCGGUGGAAUGCGCAGAUAUCAGGAGGAACACCAAUGGCGAAGGCAGCUCGCUGGGACGGUACGACGCUGAGGCGCGAAAGCGUGGGGAGCAAACAGG